rnacentral:misc_RNA from 1 species
AGGCCGCAGAACCGCUGAGCAAUCCUGCUAGAGCCCACACGCACACGUACACAAGUACUGGCACAGAGCCUACCCAGAGCGCUAGGCUCACGGUGUGUUGGCCAUCACCACCGCAACCGUGCACCUCUCUUUCUGUCUCUCGCGUUGCGCUUCUCUCAUGCGCCCUCCCUUACCCCCCUCCCUUACCCCCCUCCCACACACACACACGAAAAAAAAAAGCGAAGGCCCCACGCGGAGGAUCGCCUGCCCACACGCACUCACGAAAGCCCUAUAGACGCACACCACCCAUAUCUUCAAUCCUUAUUGGUUUGCUCACCCUUGAACCGUCACCACUGUAGAAGACACAUAGACAUAACACAUACACGCACACACGCGCCAUCACGCUCGCAGGCUCAAAAAUCAAGAGAGCACUGGCACAGCGCUUAGUGGUGUAUUCAUUGCUUUCAACACGCACGAAGUGCGACACUUUCCUUUUUUCCUUCGUAUCUGCCACGCACGUCUACAACUCACCGUGCGCUCCCGUGCGUCUCUUUGCCUGUGUGUGUGUGUGUGUGUGUGCGUGUGUGCGAUGGACGCAGUACAGACGGGAGGUGGGCACCUCGUCAGCGGUGCCGCCAGUGCGGGCUUCACGUACGCAGAGUACUGGCAAACGCUGAUGGCCACAGCCGAGCACACGGGGCAGACUCUUCGCGCGGAUGGCUCCCACGAGCCUGCCCCUUCCCUACAAAGACCUACACCGACCCCCCCGCCCCCAUCGCGACGCGUGGCGCCGGGCAGGCAGAGCAGUGCUGCCGCCAACGUCACACCGCGCGCACCGCCUAGUCAUCUGACAGAGGCUGGUACGUACCGUCUCAACCUUGCCCUCACGCCCAGCCCUCACCAAGCGCAGCGAUCACCUCUACUGCAGCAUCAGGAGCCGCUGCGCACGACAACGAUGUCCAAUCAUGUUGGCGAGAGAGAGAGAGGAGAGUGGAUCGCGAGGGCGAUGCGAGCGGGCAAAGAAGCCUCCGCUCCUGCUGGGCAGUCGGUCCGCAAGCCGUCGAGUGCGCGGAAGUCUCCGCCACCUGCGGAGCGCGCUAGGUCACGGGGCCCUCCGUCGUCAGCACUCGACACUGCGGCCGACCCCAGCGUUGAGGACGCCGGUCCAACCAGGGCAACGGAUUCGAUACGUGAGCAACGGGCGCGCGCCACAGUGAUCGGAGGCACUCGUCAGGCGGGGAGCUCCGUCGGCGAUCAGCGAGACUCAUCUGCCCCAUCAGCCGACAAAGACCUUGUGGACUCGCCUCGCCAACACUCCUCCGCAGCAGACAGCACCUCAGCUCAGCACGCCUUCUCGCUCACUGCAGGAACACCACCAGUGGAUGCUGUAUACGCCUAUACGCCGGAUGACCUCGUCGUGAAGGCGGCUCAGUGCUAUGAGGAAUGGCGUCGGUGCGUCAUGGAGGGCAGCAUAGACACCGAAGACGACAAUGAUUCGACACGGGAAUGCUGUUUCAGUGGCGAAGAUAGCUCUAUGGCAGGGAAGGGCGAGCCUGGUGAUGCUGUGCAUCGAAUCAGCCCCCCUGAAAGCCGUGCGCGCGAGGGCGCGGAGUCGCAUGGCGCCGCAGCGCCGAACUACACUCCCAGCGCUCUGUCACGCACGCCCACCAACAACAGGCGUGGUGCACUCAAUCCAGACAGAAGCAAAGUCCGUUCUGAUGGGAAGUCCUUGCUCUCCCCAGCGUGCACGCGAGGAAAACAGACACCCUCUCGCGCCGAGGGCACCCAAAGCCGUAUCCACAGCGCUGAGACAGCAACACAUGGCUUAACGAGCGGGAGACGAGACCGAGAGGGUGACACAGACUCAGCCAUCACGGCGGCAGUGACGUUGGCAUCGCUGUUCACGUGGAUGGAUGCGUCACCGGCCGCGAAGAGCCCAUCUCCGCACGUCGCAUCAGCGGCUUCCACCGUCUUUCGUAGCGUCAGAGCGCUCGAUGAAAAGGUAGCGGAACGGCUCACCGUAGAAGACGAGGUGGAGACAACGGUAGCGAAGCCAGGGGCCCGCUCCAACGGCGCGAUACGGCCAUCACAGCAGCAGCGCCACAAGCACCCUUUGAUUCAGGCGCGUCACUGCUUUCAUCAGCGAGCCGAAAGGAUUCCGAAGAUGGCCGCGAGCACAUCCCGCCCCGAGCCGACACACCGGACAUACAUGAGCAAGGACGUGCGCAGUGUUGAUGAGGCUUCGGGCUCGUUGCAGAGCUCCCCCGUGGCAGAGGCCGACGUGGACGACGCGCAUAACGCGGCGCCGCUCAGCUUUGUUUACCGCCGCCUCUUCGCAGACGAGGUCGAGGACUGUGGCGGCGGUGUCGCUGAUGCCCGUCAUCCCGAGAGAGGUGGCGUCACAAACGCCGAUGGCGCUCUCUCUCUGGACACGCCUUCUUCUGGCAAGGAAGGGCAGGAGCGGUUGCCGGCUGGCGCACUUGAUGUCCUCGCCGAGUGUGAGAGCGAGGUGACGAGGAUGAUGAGCAGCGACGCUGCCCACAACCUAACCACGUUGGCUGAAGCCGAUCAUGUUCGAGAGACCUUGAUUGAGCUCAGCAGCUGCUGCAGCAGCAUCGAAGAUCGCAGCGAUCCCGUUGGUGAAGCAGAACUCAACGAAAACGAGAUCGCGUCACACACGGAAGCCAACCUUCACCAGGGAGCAAGUAAUUCUUCGCACGGCGCACCAUCUCUCAACGGGAGCCGGAGCAACCCGAGCUUGCCGAGCGUUUCCCGCCUCUCCUUGCCGUCUUCGGUACCGCCUGUCGACAAGGGCAAACGUGACGGUCCGGAUCGAGCAGAGAUGACCGAUAGUGAAGCGCAGGUGCCCCCAGCUGUCGCCGCGAGACCCUUGCUGUGCCGUGAUCACCCCCUGUGGUGUAAGCAUCACGCCUCCGUGUCGAUGCUGUACGCGUCGCGGCUGCUGCCCAGUGAGCAGGCCAAUGAUGAGCUGCAGCUCUUUCUUUGCUGGGCGCAAGAGAAGGCCGAACGGCAAAGUCGAUGGAGGCAGCAUCAUCACAACAGCGACACCGGCGGAUCUUCGGAGACGGUGCUCGUGAGGAGCGAGCUUGGGGCAGGUCCGCAUGUGUCUUGCGCGGCCGCCGAGGUGUACAAGGGAGCCUACGCCAUGGCACGACGUGGCAAGUGGGUUGGUGCGCCUCUGUCGCGGGUGCAGCGAGAUAGUGUCAGCGGCAACAGCGAGCGAGACGCAGCUGUAGGUGCGUUGCCGGUAGGAUUCGCCUCCGCACAGGCCACGUCUCCAUCCCGCCAGCAGGCGCCACCCUUACCUCACCCAGUAGUGUUUGUGGCCGCACCCGUGCAACGCAGCGAAGCGGCGCGGCCGUCGACACCAUCCGAAGAUGUCGAUUGGACGGUCACGCCGUCCGCCGCGCCGUCGCGCUUUGUCGAGUGGAUCGCGACGGAGGUGGACCCCUACGAGAGCCUCCUCUUCUCCCCUCUGUGAGCGUGCUUGGUCUGCCUCGCCUUGGCAGCCGUCGGGCGUGCAACGGAAAUCACACGCAAGCACGCAAAGGAUGACAAGCUGCAAGGAUCGGAGGACGAUGCGCGACGCAAGCCGGUGCGGUGUGCCUGGGCCCUUGUCGCCGUGAUAUUCUCUCAUACCUUUUUCGUUUCUUUUUCGAUCGUAUGGUCCUUCCGUCGCGUCGGACCUUGCUGCCGGUGGAGCUCACAACGCCAUUACAGACAGGUACACGCGCGCAUGCGCACACAUGAUUCGGCACGUUGGCAUGCAAACCUCCCUCCUGAAGUUGUGCGCGGUCCUCAGACAUGCAAGCGCUGACGAAGGUGGAGAGAAAGAAGGUCACGAAGGCAGCAGCAGCAGCAGCACCGGCUGAACACCCGCGCAACAGCCGUCCUUGUCCGCAUUUUGAUUGCCUCUACGCUCGUCACGCCAUUCCUGUGUGGAAGACGGAUAGCUGGCAGGGUAGAUGCGGGCGAGGCGGCCAUAUGCAGGGUCGCUCCUCUGCUGUCGUGCCUGAAUUGCAUUCGCGUUCGCCACCGCCAAUGCCGACCUCUCACCCUCGAACGAAAACGAAACACCUUCGCAAUCGCUCUCUCUCCUGCAUGCUGCACCACCCAUACUGCUCUUGAGAAGACAUAACAGCAGGUUCCGUCGCUCUUUACAGUACCAGCUGAGCGAUGCUUUCGGCGUGCGUGUGCGUGUGCGAGCGUUAUCGGCUUCAAAACGCACAGACACGCGUGCGCAACGAGAUCGAAAGACGCAUCAAGAGACCAAUAAUGGAAAGAAUCAGAGGCGUCCUGGAAAAGAGAGAAACACGCGCUCCGCUCGCUGUGGGGCGAAGGGGAGAGGGAUAUCAUCAUUACAAUCCUUUCAGUGCGUCAGUCUCUGAGUGGAUAGGGAAAGCGCGACAUUUACGCGAGCCUGCAUGCAUACACGCAUGCUCGCCUUGCAUGCUUGAUUAAUCUCUGUUUGUGUGUUUCGAGGUGUAUGUACUCGCAGGCCAUUGAUUACUUAAUGGUGUGUGCGCACCUCGCCUCCCUUUUUCGUGGCUAUCGUUGCUCGCUGCGCCGCUUCACCGGCAUCGACAUCGCCAUGCCGUUCGGCGCUUACUACGCCUACCACGGCGCUGCCGUGGACAGAAAAGGUCUCGGUGAGGCGCACUAACUGCUUCAAGGCGUACGUGCUGUGGCGCGGCGGCUGGCCGCCAUCCGCGACGUUGCAAAGGUGCUGUGGCUGUGAGCAGAGGAGCGCGUGUGGACGGACCUGAUAUCGGGGCUGAACGUAUUCUCGAUCUGCGCGCCGCGCGUGGUAGCCUUCGCGGCGAACCGCUACAAGGCGACCUGUGCGAGCGACACCGGCAACACCGAAGCGAGGGGCCGCCUUUUCUCCAAGUACCGCUCACAGUGCCCGCGCGACGUCGCUGUCUACACGCUGCUGGGCUACACCGCCCAUCUGCUGCAGCUGCCGCCGCCGCUUGCUGAACCGCUGCGCACGCACAAUGUCUUCGUCUCUUACUUGGUGAGGCGCACACUAGCAGCGCCUCAGCGCCUUCCUCGGGUCCGACUGGAUCCUCGCCGACCUCGCGCCGUACCAGAUCCUCAGCAUAGCCCUCUACACGCACAUGAUUCAUCUGCCCCUCGAGCUCAGCACCAUCUGGAAUCUCUCGCGCGGGAUGGCGCUGCUCAACGGCGUCGAUACACCGGAAGACAUGCCCGCGUUUCUAAGCCGAUGUGGUCCGCGAAGGCAGAAGGAAAGCGCACGAAAUGCUCGCAAAGGGCAAAGCCUCUUCAGCCUAGCCACUCAUGUCGUGCGGCGCUGCGUUCGUUGCGUCAAGGACAGGGUGCAGGCCACGGGCAACCCCCUUUGACCUGUGCGUGCUACCGCUCGGUACAAGCACCGGAUUGUCCGAUAUCGUGUCUUGCGGAGACUAGGCGACCACCGGCAAGCUGGUCGAGAGGUUCACGGUGCCCCGCUACUCACCUGCAACGGAGUUGGCGUAUCUGAAGAGUCGUCUGUGCGGUGCGUCGAUAACGAAGGAUGGCGUGCUCGAAGACCGCUCCAGCGAUAACGCCUUUCAGGGUUUCUUCCGCACCUGCGCAAACAAGUUUAUGUUUGUGAAGGCGGCUCCUCCUUGGAGGGAGGCGACAACGCCAACGGUGAACAACACGUCGAGGCCGCGGAUAUGGCGAAUACCGAAGCUGUAAUCAUGGAGUUCCCGCGGCGGGGAACGAUUUGCGCAAAGAACCUGCCAGGCCGAGGUCGAGGCAACGCCCGGCGCGGCCGAGACGGCAACCGUCGACGUGACAACCAGACGCCUCGGUACCGCGACGGAAGUGAUGCGACCGCUGAAUCCUCCAAGGAUGGGGCCACCGAUCUUGCAUUGGAAAAGAACGGGUGAGAGCCCCUGCGAGCGAGGAGGUGGAGGCGCAGCCGCCGAAUGCCCUUCGGUGGAGCCCGUGCUGAAAGGUGGACGCUGCUGCACGGCUUGCGGUCGCGCUCCGCUUUGGCUGUGUUGGAAAUGGAGCACCGCGCACCACUGCGGAUGCCCAUCUCUUCCCUGCUGCUCACACGCCACCACGGGAUCGCUGGCGUCAUCGAGGAGGGUGAGCACGGAGGCUCCGGAGCUGCACAUCUUUGACGCAGCACCAGCGUAAGAGGUGCGCAAGCAUCUAAAGAAAACGCUUUCUGCGCAUUGGUCAGGCAUCGCAGCGCCCGUCAGUGGAUGUGCCCGGCAGAAGCGCGACAGUGGCGGCGGAAAACUUUUCUAGGAUCGCCACGGUUUGCGCCGGACAUCUAGGCGCGGACGUGGGGCGCGCCGACUCCACCGCUCGCCGGUCGCGCGUUUUCCUGACGGAUGUGCUUCAGCACUAUCACGUAAACAGCUCUGGAAGCCAGCGCGCGCGCUGCUCGACCGACGCCCCUCGACAGUAGACUGUGGCGACGCAGACGCCGGCUUUUUUUGGGGGGCGGAAGCGCUUCCGAUACGAAAUGUAUUGACGAGCUGCUCCGCAAGGUCACGUAGGCAGGGGGCGCUUGCGCACACGGCACACGGUGAAGCCCGCGAAACCCAGGCUGGGGGGAGGGCGGGAGCCGCGCGUUGGCAAUCUGCAGGCCUGGGGGUGCACGGUGCAAACGUUUUUUCUGUCUCUGAAGUGAAGGGGAGGCGGCGGAGGAUCCCCGGGCCGAAUAUGCACUCUGUCACCGGCAAGGAAGACUUCCCACCAUUGACGAACCCCGAGAAGGCGGGAGCAUGUACACGAGGGCUGCGGAACGCCUAGCACACUAUCCCACCGUCCGUUUUUUUUUGAUGCGUUUGAAGCUGCUAGUCCGCUUCGGUGAAGCGGUUCGUGAUGCACUUGUUCCGCGGUUGACCUCGUAUGGGUGUCUGCGCCUGACAGCACGGCCAACAGGUGCGCGAUGGAGCGCGGCCGUGGGCCCGGGUAUCACACGCAUGAUCGUGGGCAUGCCGACCGCCGCGACAAUCCUCACCGGUAUCACCGGCACGAUGCUUGCCACGAGGGAAGGCUACAAGCAAGUUUUGCUUUCAGCCGUACGCGCAAUCCUCAGAUGUGUUGGACAGACGAACCUGCUGCCAUCCCCCAGACAGAGGAACUAGGGCGCAAAAGGAAUACGGGGCGACUGCAGGUGGCACACGAUGAGCUGAGCUUUCGUGAGGCCAAACAUAUAUAUAUGUAUUUCCGUGGCGGCACGGCCGUGAGCGAUAUUCGCCUCGCACUCACUCCAUUCAGUGGCAAAGCCGGCGUUAGCGAUGCGCGCCGAAGCCUUUACCUGCGGUCUUGUUGCCUUUACGUGUCGCUGGCAAUGAAUGCUCUGUAUGCAGCUAUGAUGCGCCCACCCAACCUUUUUUUUCCCGGUUGUUGCUCGAGAGGGCAUCGUUGUGUCUACCGUCUGGUGGAUCGGGGCAGAGAACGGGUCUCACCGCUUCCGUACCUGGACCCUCACGCGCGAAGCCUGACGAGAGGUCAAGGCUCGCCGGCUCAUGCAGAACCCGUGGUGGCAGAUCUCACCUGAGAUGGACGUUGGUGACGACGGGCGAAACACAUGGCUACAUCAAUGUCACUGACGCCUCGGCUGAGAGCUGGGGUGCCUUAACUCGCUGGCGCACCGGCGACGGUUUCCAGUGCCAGCAAAGGUUGGUGAGCAACCUUGAAGGCGAGCACAGCUCCCUACCGCGAAACGAAACCCUGCACUUCACGGCAAAGUAUUCGGUGCGCGCGGAUCCAGCGGCGGCGUUGAGACCCCUCGACCUGCUUUACCGCUGUUGUCCGGAAGAGGGUCAGAAGUGAGCUGUGAUGGCCGGCCGCAUCACCACUGUGCGUGCGCAACGACGACAGAGCGGUUACGGUGGGAUCGGGCGAGAAGACGUCGUGAACGCCCUGCGAGAGUGCAUGCACUCCCUUGUCCACAAGAAGAAUAUGCAGGUGGCAUUCUUCUACAUGGCAGGCGAAACCAAUCCCGCCGAUGGCCUCCCUCGCGGCAUUGACGCUUACUAACCCUGCACAGAGGAUCGGGCUCCCGUGCAAGCGACUUUGGACUUCCGAGACAGCCAAACACUCAUUGCUCCCCCGUACGGGUAAUCCUCUAGCUGACAAGAGAAACGGAGUGGCUACGGAUGGGGGUACUACCCGAGACUGCACUAGCGGGGUAGUCGUCCAUAAAUCUAUCGAGCAUCUCAAAGAAGCGUGAUGCCCCUCGAUGGGCAACAAACCGGUGCGGCCAUGCGAGACGUCUGCGCACCGCGUUUGUGGCCGAAGUGGCGCGUUCCCCUGAAUUCCCCCAUCCCCGCUGAGCAUCUUUCCACUUUC